UGGGAACUUUAAGGAUACUGCCAGUGACAAACUGGAGGAAGGCGGGGACGACGUCAAGUCAUCAUGGCCCUUACGGCCAGGGCUACACACGUGCUACAAUGGUCGGUACAAAGGGUUGCUACACAGCGAUGUGAUGCUAAUCUCAAAAAGCCGAUCGUAGUCCGGAUUGGAGUCUGCAACUCGACUCCAUGAAGUCGGAAUCGCUAG
rnacentral:rRNA from 1 species